UACGUAAAAAAACGAGCGUUGUCCCGGAUUUAUUGGGCGUAAAGAGCUCGUAGGCGAUUCGAUAAGUCGGAUGUGAAAUCUCCACGCUCAACGUGGAAAAACCAUUCGAUACUACCGUGACUCGAGUCCAGUAAGAGAGUGUGGAAUUCCCCGGUGUAGCGGUGAAAUGCGCAGAGAUCGAAAGGAACACCCAUAGCAAAGGCGGCACUCUAGACCAGUACUGACGCUGAAGAGCGAAAGCAUAAGAAGCGAACAGG
rnacentral:rRNA from 1 species